AUGCAUUGUACUCCCAAGUCUAACAACAGACCAUAAAUUCCCCUUAAUUUGUUGUUUAGCCUAUUCAAUAACUACAGGUUUUACCUGAUCCGAGUGUUGAUACACCCUGACCCUUGACAGGUUGAUCGUUGCAGGCAGAGCUGUAAAACAGUACAGAGCAGUCAUCCAAGUGUCUACAAGGAGUGCCAGACCUACAGAGUAUCCAACAGUCCUGCUGGACAAUGAUAGGACCCUGUAUUACAAAGCUGCGGUAGCUUUCAUGUGGGUAGAUUUCAUGUGGUCCAGCAGCUACGAAGGAUGAUUCCGACCUCUAUAAAUUCAAAGGAGCAUGAACAGGAGACUUCUGCUCUGUUGAAGAUGAAGCUCUCUCUACGAUCGGUCGUAAUAGUGGCAGUGGUAACCUCCAUAUUCUUCUUUGCAUUCAAGCAGAAAAAAAUUCAGGUAAGACACCAAACGUUCAUGUUCU